rnacentral:rRNA from 1 species
GACAGAGGUGGCAAGCGUUGUUCGGAGUUACUGGGCGUAAAGAGCACGUAGGCGGUUGGGUAAGUCCCAUGUAAAAUCCCCCUGCUCAACAGGGGAACGCCAUGGGUGACUGCCUGGCUGGAGGAUGGGAGAGGAGAGCGGAAUUCCCGGUGGAGCGGUGAAAUGCGUAGAGAUCGGGAGGAAGGCCGGUGGCGAAGGCGGCUCUCUGGAACAUUCCUGACGCUGAGGUGCGAAAGCGUGGGGAGCAAAC